rnacentral:rRNA from 1 species
UAUCCGGAUUUACUGGGUGUAAAGGGAGCGCAGGCGGUGCGGCAAGUCUGAUGUGAAAGCCCGGGGCUCAACCCCGGUACUGCAUUGGAAACUGUCGUACUAGAGUGUCGGAGGGGUAAGCGGAAUUCCUAGUGUAGCGGUGAAAUGCGUAGAUAUUAGGAGGAACACCAGUGGCGAAGGCGGCUUACUGGACGAUAACUGACGCUGAGGCUCGAAAGCGUGGGGAGCAAACAGGAUUAGAUACCCUGGUAGUC